CUACGGGAGGCUGCAGUGAGGAAUAUUGCACAAUGGGGUGAACCCUGAUGCAGCAACGCCGCGUGGAGGAUGACGCAUUUCGGUGUGUAAACUCCUUUUAUAUGUCAAGAAAAUGACGGUAGCAUAUGAAUAAGCACCGGCUAACUCCGUGCCAGCAGCCGCGGUAAUACGGAGGGUGCAAGCGUUACUCGGAAUCACUGGGCGUAAAGGACGCGUAGGCGGGUUGGAAAGUCAGGUGUGAAAUCCUACAGCUUAACUGUAGAACUGCACUUGAAACUUCUAAUCUAGAGUAUGGGAGGGGGAGAUGGAAUUAGUGGUGUAGAGGUAAAAUCCGUAGAUAUCACUAGGAAUACCUAAAGCGAAGGCGAUCUCCUGGAACAUUACUGACGCUAAGGCGUGAAAGCGUGGGGAGCAAACAGGAUUAGAUACCCCGGUAGUC
rnacentral:rRNA from 1 species